rnacentral:lncRNA from 1 species
GGCAGAUAUGCGUGGCCCAGCAUGCGGGCAGGCCCAGUGGGGGUGCGCAUGUGGGCCAACCUAGCACACACGGGCGCCCAAGGCCCAGUGCCCCUAUGCGGUCCAUCGUGGAUCGUGGGGUGCUGGGCGGUCCAUGGGGCCGCGUGGACUGAACACGCGGUCCACGAGCGGUCUAGGAGAGUUUUUGCAUGAUUCGACGGUCCAGAUUGUAGCCGAUCAUGAUCGGAUGGUUAGAACUCAAUCCGAGCAUGAUCAAGCGUAAUUAAAGGCUAUUUUGCACGAUCAGACGGUUUUGGUAUGAGCCGA